rnacentral:rRNA from 1 species
UUGCCCUACGGGGGGCAGCAGUGGGGAAUAUUGCACAAUGGGGGAAACCCUGAUGCAGCAACGCCGCGUGGGUGAAGAAGUAUUUCGGUAUGUAAAGCCCUAUCAGCAGGGAAGAGAAUGACGGUACCUGACUAAGAAGCCCCGGCUAACUACGUGCCAGCAGCCGCGGUAAUACGUAGGGGGCAAGCGUUAUCCGGAUUUACUGGGUGUAAAGGGAGCGUAGGCGGGACGGUAAGUCAGCGGUAAAAAUGCGGAGCUCAACUCCGUCGAGCCGUUGAAACUGCCGUUCUUGAGUGAGCGAGAAG